rnacentral:rRNA from 1 species
AAUGAACGUUGGCGGCGUGGAUUAGGCAUGCAAGUCGAACGAUAUCUGUAGCAAUACAGUGAAAGUGGCGAAAGGGAGAGUAAUACGUAGGUACCUGCCCUCGGGUCUGGGAUAGCUGCGGGAAACUGCAAUUAAUACCGGAUGACGUCUCUGGACCAAAGGUGUGAUUCCGCCAGAGGAUGGGCCUGCGUCCUAUCAGCUAGUUGGUGUGGUAAGGCGCACCAAGGCUAAGACGGGUAC